rnacentral:lncRNA from 1 species
CCCCGCAUCGGACCCAAGGACAGUCCCAGGAGACGUGGGGGCGCUCACCCCUUUCGUGGACGGGAAACUGAGGCAGGCGGGUGAAGGUCGGCUCACAUGCGGAGCUCAGCAUCACCCUAUGUUCCAGGUGAGCCACUGAGGCUCAGGGAGGACAGAGGUGAAGGAUCUUGCCCCAGUCACAGGAGGAAUCACAGGCAGAAAGGGGGAGAUGGAAAGAGGUAGGAGGGAGAGCAGGGAAGGAGAGGAGGGACUGGAGGGGGCAGAAGGAAGGGGAGGUGGCUGUCCCAGGAUGGGGUCAGG